rnacentral:rRNA from 1 species
UACGAGGGGAGCAAGCGUUGUUCGGAUUUACUGGGCGUAAAGGGCGCGUAGGCGGUCGUGACAAGUCACUUGUGAAAUCUCCGGGCUUAACUCGGAACGGUCAAGUGAUACUGUCGGACUAGAGUACAGAAGGGGCAACUGGAAUUCUCGGCGUAGCGGUGAAAUGCGUAGAUAUCGAGAGGAACACCUGCGGCGAAGGCGGGUUGCUGGGCUGAUACUGACGCUGAUGCGCGAAAGCCAGGGGAGCGAACGGG